AAGGCAUGACGAGGGAACUUUCUAAGCAUAUCUUUGAAUCUCCCUGAACUCUCAUAAAUAAAUUCUCUUUCUAAUUGAGUAAAAAAAGUAAAGUCAUUUCUAAGCUU